AUUUAUUCCAAAUAUAACCUCAUGGUGUGACAUUUAUAUUAGAGAACAAGUUCAAUAAAUUUAUUCGAUGCCCACAAUUUUGUAGCAUCAGAGAGUUUGCUUCCUUCAACUUCCAAUCUUCUCAAAUGUGAACAAUUCUUAACAAAGAGUUCAAUAGCCAUAGAUUCUAUCCCCAAACAAUGCAUAACAUCAACAUUUUCAAGUCUCUUGCAACUCCUAACCAUGGUAACCAAUGCCAAAUUAGUAAGCCCUUUACACCCUCUAACCUUCAAAUCAACCAAAUGAAUACAUGAAACCAACAUUGAAAUAAAAUCCUUAUCAAACAACAUUUCAUUAUGAGACAAAUCAAGUUUCUUCAAUUGCCUCAAAUGUUGCCCUAAAGUAGCAAGCAAACCUUUUUCCCUUUCAACAACAUCACAGUUUAUGAGUGCCAAUUCUUCAAGACCAUUACUCAAUGCUACACUUAGAACCUUAAGCCCUUCACCAGUUACAAGACAACAACUUUGAAGCCUAAUACUCGAAAGGCCUCGAAAAUUUGUAGUCAUAGCAAUAGCAAAUAGAUGAUUGUUUUCAAGGUCCAUAGGUAAACGAAAAUCGAGUUUAUGCAAAUUAUUAGAACUACAAUUUGAAAAGAAAUGUAGCAAACCCUCUCUGCUACCACCAUCAUGAACCAAAAGUGAUUCCAAUGAGUUACAAUGUUGUGCAAGGUUCAACAAAACUCCAUCAACCACGCUUCUACAAGUCUUGAGCUCAAUUUGUUGAAUACCCUGCAAACAUUGAACAAAACAAGAGUAAGAACCACCAAUUCCUUGACAACUAAGAAGCUUCAAUUUCUUAAGGUUUCUGCAUCUCUUCCAUAGCCAACCAAUUCCCCAAUCAUCUCCGCGAAUAUUCUCAAAACAAAGACUUUCCAAACCCAAUUCCUUAUCAAAAUCAUCACUUUCAAAAACACAAUUUUGGAAAUUCACCUCCUCAGAAGAACAAAAAACAACUGAGAGAUGUUUCAAGCAAGGAAAAAGCAAAACCCAGUUGAGAAAAAUUGGUCUUGAGAGAGUUAUAGAAAGAGAGGUCAACUUGGUACAAGAGUUUGAGAGAGAAGUGAUGGAAGAGAGAGGAAGAGGAGCAGCCAAGAAUUUGAGAGAGAGAAGCUUAGAAGAGGAAAUAACAGAGAGAAGAAGAGGUGUUGUUGAUGGUGAUGAUGAGAGAAGGAUGAGAGAGAGAGAAGAGAGAGAAGGGUGUUGAUUGAGGAAAGAGAUGAAGGAAGAAAGGUGUUGAUUGUUGAAACGAAGAGAAAGAGAGGUUUUUGAUGAACGGUAGAGAUGAAGCCACCGUUUUGAAACAAGAGAGAUUGAAGAGAAAGAAGAAGAUGGAAGUUUUUGGAAUAUUUCUUGUAAUAGUUCAUCGUAUAAGCUAUUUUCCAUCUCUUCUGGUUUCUCUCUCUCUCUGUUUCUCUAUCUCUCUGUGUUUUAUUGUGUUGUUUGGAGAAUAUAGUAAGGUGUGUCUGGUUUUUUUUAUUAGAGAAAAUAUUAGGAUUAGGUGAGAAGUGAAGUGUGUUUGAAAGAGCAAGAUUACUUGUUGAAAAUGAAUCUUAGACGCAUGUGUAAUGGACGUGAAAGCCACGUUCCUGCUUGUCUAUAUAUUUUUGGAAAAUGUUACAUAGACACCCUUUAUUUCCAUACACCUUUGUACAUCUUGUAUACUAGGAAGAGAGAAGAGGAAAGGAAAGAUAAAAUGUGCUUGUUCAGGAUCCACGUGACCACAUGUCAGAUUUUUGUAUGGAUAUCCAGAUAUAUUUCCACCUAAGGGUGUCUAUGUAUCAUAACUCUAUAUUUCUAUUGCAAAUAGAAACUUAUGUAAAACUAAACCAAAU
rnacentral:lncRNA from 1 species